GAUGAAGAACGCAGCGAAAUGCGAUAAGUAGUGUGAAUUGCAGAAUUCAGUGAAUCAUCGAAUCUUUGAACGCACAUUGCGCCCCUUGGUAUUCCAUGGGGCAUGCCUGUUCGAGCGUCAUUUGUACCCUCAAGCUUUGCUUGGUGUUGGGCGUCUUGUCUCUAGCUUUGCUGGAGACUCGCCUUAAAGUAAUUGGCAGCCGGCCUACUGGUUUCGGAGCGCAGCACAAGUCGCACUCUCUAUCAGCAAAGGUCUAGCAUCCAUUAAGCCUUUUUUUCAACUUUUGACCUCGGAUCAGGUAGGGAUACCCGCUGAACUUAAGCAUAUCAAUAAGCGGAGGA
rnacentral:misc_RNA from 1 species